GAUGAACGCUGGCGGCGUGCUUAACACAUGCAAGUCGAACGAAGCACUCUAUUUGAUUUUCUUCGGAAAUGAAGAUUUUGUGACUGAGUGGCGGACGGGUGAGUAACGCGUGGGUAACCUGCCUCAUACAGGGGGAUAACAGUUGGAAACGACUGCUAAUACCGCAUAAGCGCACAGGAUCGCAUGAUCUGGUGCGAAAAACUCCGGUGGUAUGAGAUGGACCCGCGUCUGAUUAGCCAGUUGGCAGGGUAACGGCCUACCAAAGCGACGAUCAGUAGCCGACCUGAGAGGGUGACCGGCCACAUUGGGACUGAGACACGGCCCAAACUCCUACGGGAGGCAGCAGUGGGGAAUAUUGCACAAUGGGGGAAACCCUGAUGCAGCGACGCCGCGUGAGCGAAGAAGUAUUUCGGUAUGUAAAGCUCUAUCAGCAGGGAAGAAGAAUGACGGUACCUGACUAAGAAGC
rnacentral:rRNA from 1 species